UAAAAAAAAAAAAAGUAUUGUAUUUGUUCACAUUUUUUUUUGGCAUAAGAUAAAAACAAUAAACCUAUACAAGUCAAUAAUUUACACAUAAUGAAUUUCAAGACUAAAUGUGACAACGAACAUGACAUUCUUUGAACAUGCUUACAAUGACAAAAUGAACUAAAGUCUGCUUUAAAAAGACAAGUGUUUAUCAAAACUAUUUCCUUUUCCUACGUCUCCAGCACUCACCCCAAGGACGUACACACAUCUGUUUCGACCCCCUUACAAUAUUGACACAGGUGAAAAAGGGGCAGAUAACAAGCAAGGGGAGUUAGUCUAUUUAUCAAUGCCGAGUUAUCAGUUGGAUUACCAAGCAAAUAAGGUCAAUGCUCUAGAGGGACUAGCCCAAAAAGAAGCGUGAAGGGGGCGUUCGAAUCAAGCACCCCACUAAUCAGUUCUCCAGCCUGAUCUUGAAUAAAACAUUCUUCAGCAGCCAAAUCUCAUUUUCUGAAAUCCACGCGGGAGCAUCCUCGCCCGCCUUUCCCUCUCGUUUAAUCUCAAUUUUCACUGACCAGUGCCCAGUAGCAUUCAGUGGAAGUCUUCUAUUUCUCCAGUGGUCACCCUUGAGCCUGUCUUCAUUUGUUGUCUCCUACUGGUCACUGGUCAGGGAAACUUAUUGGCUUUACCCGUCUACCAACUGCCGACCUCACACUAGGCUUUGUUGGCCUUUAAACAUUGGCCCAUCACUCAAUUCAUGUUACAUUCUCCAUUCAUCGUAGUCCUUGAGUCUAAAUCUUCUUUCUUCUCUCUCUCUCACACAAGCAUACAUAAACACACACACACAAGCAAUGAAAUAAUUAAGUUGGGGGGGGGGGGGG